GACGAACGCUGGCGGCGUGCUUAACACAUGCAAGUCGAACGGAAAGGCCCUGCUUGCAGGGUGCUCGAGUGGCGAACGGGUGAGUAACACGUGGGUGAUCUGCCCCUUACUUUGGGAUAAGCCUGGGAAACUGGGUCUAAUACUGGAUAGGACCAUGCUGUAGGUGGUGUGGUGGAAAGAUUAGUUUCGGUAAGGGAUGAGCUCGCGGCCUAUCAGCUUGUUGGUGGGGUAAUGGCCUACCAAGGCGUCGACGGGUAGCCGGCCUGAGAGGGUGGACGGCCACAUUGGGACUGCGAUACGGCCCAGACGCCUACGGGAGGCAGCAGUGGGGAAUAGUGCACAAUGGGCGCAAGCCGGAUGCAGCGACGCCGCGUGGGGGAUGACGGCCUUCGGGUUGUAAACUCCUUUCAGCCAUGACGAAGCCCUUGUGGUGACGGUAGUGGUAGAAGAAGCACCGGCUAACUACGUG
rnacentral:rRNA from 1 species